rnacentral:rRNA from 1 species
GACGAACGCUGGCGGCGUGCCUAAUACAUGCAAGUAGGACGCAGUUGCGAACGGGUGAGUAACGCGUAGGUAACUACCUAUUAGAGGGGGAUAACUAUUGGAAACGAUAGCUAAUACCGCAUACUCGUAGAUGGACCUGCGUUGUAUUAGCUAGUAGGUAGGGUAAUGGCCUACCUAGGCAACGGUACAUAGCCGACCUGGGAGGGUGGUCCGCCACAAUGGGACUGGGACAAGGGCCAGAAUCCUACGGGAGGCAGCAGUAGGGAAUCUUCGGGAAUGGGGGGAAACCUUGACGAGCAACGCCGCGUGAGGGAAGGAAGUUUUCGGAUCGUAAAGCUCUGUUGUUAAGGAAGCGGUACUUAACCAGAAAGGGACGGCUAACUACGUGCCAGCAGCCGCGGUAAUAC